rnacentral:rRNA from 1 species
AGAGUUUGAUCCUGGCUCAGGAUGAACGCUAGCGGCAGGCUUCAUACAUGCAAGUCGAGGGGCAGCAUAAAUUACUUGUAAUCUGAUGGCGACCGGCGAACGGGUGCGUAACGCGUAUGCAACUUACCUUUUACUAGAGAAUAGCCAAGAGAAAUUUUGAUUAAUGCUCUAUGUUCUUAUUUACUCGCAUGAGUAAAUAAGCAAAGCUCCGGCGGUAAAAGAUGGGCAUGCGUCCUAUUAGCUUGUAGGUGAGGUAAUGGCUCACCUAAGCUCCGAUAGGUAGGGGUCCUGAGAGGGAGAUCCCCCACACUGGUACUGAGACACGGACCAGACUUCUACGGAAGGCAGCAGUAAGGAAUAUUGGACAAUGGAGGCAACUCUGAUCCAGCCAUGCCGCGUGAAGGAAGACGGCCUUAUGGGUUGUAAACUUCUUUUAUACAGGAAGAAACCUUUCCACGUGUGGAAAGUUGACGGUACUGUAAGAAUAAGGAUCGGCUAACUCCGUGCCAGCAGCCGCGGUAAUACGGAGGAUCCAAGCGUUAUCCGGAAUUAUUGGGUUUAAAGGGUCCGCAGGCUGUUUGUUAAGUCAGAGGUGAAAUCCUACCGCUCAACGGUAGAACUGCCUUUGAUACUGGCAAACUUGAGUUAUUGUGAAGUAGUUAGAAUGUGUAGUGUAGCGGUGAAAUGCAUAGAUAUUACACAGAAUACCGAUUGCGAAAGCAGAUUACUAACAUAUACUG